UGCCUUAGUAACUGCGAGUGAAGCGGCAAAAGCUCAAAUUUGAAAUCUGGGGCCUCACAGCCUCCGAAUUGUAAUUUCGCGAUGCGUCUUUGACGGAUGGCUCUACUUUAAGUUCCUUGGAACAGGACGUCACAGAGGGUGAGAAUCCCGUGAUAGGUAGGGCCUGAAGCAUAUAAUACGUAUUCUACGAGUCGAGUUGUUUGGGAAUGCAGCUCAAAAUGGGUGGUAAAUUUCAUCUAAAGCUAAAUAUUGGCGAGAGACCGAUAGCGCACAAGUAGAGUGAUCGAAAGAURAAAAGCACUUUGAAAAGAGAGUUAAAAAGUACGUGAAAUUGUUGAAAGGGAAGCGCUUGAGACCAGACUCCAUCUGUGGUGAUCAGCGGUGCUUUUGUGCCGUGCACUUGCCACUUAUGGGGCCAGCAUCGGUUCUGGCGGUGGGAUAAAGUCUUGAGGAAUGUAGCUGUCUUCGGGCAGUGUUAUAGCCUCUUGAGUAAUGCCACCAGCCGGGACCGAGGACCGCGCUUCGGCUAGGAUGCUGGCGUAAUGGUCUUCAGCGACCCGUCUUGAAACACGGACCAAGGAGUCUAACAUCUAUGCGAGUGUUCGGGUGAAAAACCCUUGCGCGUAAUGAAAGUGAACGGAGGUGGGAACCUUAGGGUGCACCAUCGACCGAUCCUGAUGUCUUCGGAAGGAUUUGAGUAUGAGCAUAGCUGUUGGGACCCGAAAGAUGGUGAACUAUGCCUGAAUAGGGUGAAGCCAGAGGAAACUCUGGUGGAGGCUCGCAGCGGUUCUGACGUGCAAAUCGAUCGUCAAAUUUGGGUAUAGGGGCGAAAGACUAAUCGAACCAUCUAGUA
rnacentral:rRNA from 1 species